rnacentral:rRNA from 1 species
AGUGAACGCUGGCGGUAGGCCUAACACAUGCAAGUCGAACGGCAGCACAGGAGAGCUUGCUCUCUAGGUGGCGAGUGGCGGACGGGUGAGGAAUACAUCGGAAUCUGCCCAGUCGUGGGGGAUAACGUAGGGAAACUUACGCUAAUACCGCAUACGACCUUCGGGUGAAAGAGGGGGAUCGCAAGACCUCUCGCGAUUGGAUGAGCCGAUGUCGGAUUAGCUAGUUAGCGGGGUAAUGGCCCACCAAGGCGACGAUCCGUAGCUGGUCUGAGAGGAUGAUCAGCCACACUGGAACUGAGACACGGUCCAGACUCCUACGGGAGGCAGCAGUGGGGAAUAUUGGACAAUGGGCGCAAGCCUGAUCCAGCCAUACCGCGUGGGUGAAGAAGGCCUUCGGGUUGUAAAGCCCUUUUGUUGGGAAAGAAAUCUUUCAGGCUAAUACCCUGGGAGGAUGACGGUACCCAAAGAAUAGGCACCGGCUAACUUCGUG